rnacentral:sRNA from 1 species
CACUAAUGUCUCAUAUCAUUUGCAACAAAACCUUCAGAGACCCAAGACAAACCACCAUGAAAAAAUACAAUUCAUUGGCCAAAACAACUUCACAGAGGAAAGUCAUACCUACGUUUGUACACAAAAAUUGCAUGUAUAAGGAAAAUGAAUGGGAAGGGUCAAAUAAAAUGGCAAACGUUACUGUCUGCAAAAACCACAUCAUAAACUGAAGAACAGAAAAACAUACCAUCAUGCAUGCCAAUAAAGGGGUUGCCAAAUAUUAUUAAUCAUUAAAAUCACAAAAACAACAGCGAUUCCACACAGGCAAAACUAAACGCAAAACACCACAUACAUGAUUAAAACGAAUCAUCUAUCAAUGGCAAAGAUCAUACAUGACAGAAAUUAGCCAAUCAAACGGACGAAGACAAAAAUACAUCGGACCAAAAUACAAAAUCAAUCACG